UGGGGAAUAUUGGGCAAUGGGCGAAAGCCUGACCCAGCGACGCCGUGUGGGCGAUGAAGGCCUUCGGGUUGUAAAGCCCUGUCGGGUGGGAAGAAGGGCUGGAGGAAGAAUACGCCUCCAGCUUUGACGGUACCACCGGAGGAAGCACCGGCUAACUCCGGGCCAGCAGCCGCGGUAAUACGGAGGGUGCAAGCGUUGUUCGGAAUUACUGGGCGUAAAGGGCGCGUAGGUGGUUGUGUAAGUCGGAUGUGAAAUCCCCAGGCUCAACUUGGGAACUGCAUCCGAUACUGCAUGACUCGAGUGCAGCAGAGGGAAACGGAAUUCCUGGUGUAGAGGUGAAAUUCGUAGAUAGCAGGAGGAACACCGGUGGCGAAGGCGGUUUCCUGGGCUGACACUGACACUGAGGCGCGAAAGCGUGGGUAGCAAACA
rnacentral:rRNA from 1 species